AAAGGCACCGGCGGCCCCCUGAGGAGAACUCCGCGUGCUGAGCGCGCAGCAGGCCGGCACAGCCCGAGGGCACGGUCUGGAAACCCCCGCCCGACGCGCAGGGGAAGCACGUUCCGCGCGGGGGAACCCCGCAGCGCCAGGAAAGCACCCGGCGUUCCGCCCAGCGCCGAGCGGCACCGCUCCUCGCUCAGCAAACGGGCAGCGGGGACACAGCAGCUCCUGAGGGGGUCCGUACGUACAGCUCGGGGAGGGGGGGGACGGGGACGCACAAGGCUUGGCGGGGGGGGGCCUGCCCCGAUCGCCGCGAGGAGCGAUGAGGCCGAAAGGCAUAAGCCGCCGCCAUGGCCGGGACGUGAUGGAAAGGAGGCACCGCCCUCUCGUCAUGCGGCGCAUGCGCAGCGCGCCGCUGGGGCUUUCCGGCCGCUUCCCGGCCCUGACGCUCCCCUCGGAGUUCCCCGGGCCGGGGGCCGCCCCUCAGCGCAUAUAGAGCGCUGCCGGCCCGUCCGCUGGGAUCAGCGAGCGGAGGCCGUGGGGGAAGGCUGUUUUGUUCUGCACAAAAGCACUGAUUGAAACUAUAAGCAUUUACAGUUUUUCCUUGUGAGCAGUCAGUACCAGUAUGGAGGCGUAGGCACCUCAAACGGGACUUAAGUCUGGACUCUGGGAGGUAGUUCUGUGCACAAAUAAAGAAACUAAGGCUGUUUUCUUCUUCUACCCAAGGGUUCUGUUUGGUUUGUAAACAUGGCAUACAGAAAAACCUUAAUUUAUCACUAUAAAGUGUUAUUAUGUCCCAACGCAAAGCAAUUUAUUUAUGUUAAAGGUGAUAACUGCAUACUUGUAACUAAGGCACCAGGUUAAAACUGAAACGCGCUGUCCGUUCUGUGCUGUUAUAGAUAGAAGAGCCUGGGGCUGUUCCAGGCUCAUUAGUUAAGACAGCUCAUCCUUGUCAGAGGCAGCGUAUAGGAUUUAUUACAUCUCAUAGCUGAGCUUAAUAUAAGUGAAGUUGAGUAUAAACUGAUAUCUGAAGUCUUAGCAGUUCUUAAAACAAUAUUCAUGUGUCAAAGGUAUUUUUGGCAGUUCAGUAGUAGCAAAUAGACUAGAUCAAUUCAGUGAUGUCAGUUCAGGGGCUCUUUUGAGAUUCCUAAUGAGAUUUGUAAACUGAAAUUUUUAGUUUGUAUAGUUGAUCAGCUCCCCAGGGUGAACUAGUUUUUAAAUCACUUGGCAGUACUUUAAACUGGGAAAUACAAUGUGUCCUCCACCCACCAUUUUAGUUUCUUUAUUAACAAAAGGGUUUUGAUAAACCCAUUUGAGGCUUUCCCCUCAGGACCCCGACCCCACCUGCCUGACUGAUCGAUACUGCUCUCCCAGAUGCACGGCACAAGGAAAGCACACAGUGUGAAUGUGUAGCACAAGGCAAAGUCCUCUUUGACGUACCUGUAUUUGUCAAUGGGAUGGAUCAGCUUUUGCGUGGAAAGCAGUCGUGCAGACACAAGAAUGAGAACCUGGCAAAUGUUUGAAGUCUGAUAGUCACAUGACUGAUUCUAUUCAUACGUGCGUUCGAAGUUACACAUAAAUAUUUCAUUUCCAGGUUCUUAAUUUAUACAGGCAAGGGUUACUCAGAAUUGCCUUUAGUGCACACAACUACCUCCCAGAGGAAGACUUGUCCCAUU
rnacentral:lncRNA from 1 species